UCAAGUGGAUGCAACAUGUUAUAAUAAUGUAAAGCAGUUAGGAGUGGAAAUUCAGAUGAAAGGUAUAUACAGUACAGUCAUCCAAAAUACAAGAGGAGGAAUAAAGCUCUACUUAUAGCAUAGAGUCUUUCAAAAGAAGAAAAGAGUAAAGGAAUUAAACUAAGUUAUACACAACGAAAGAACUGAGCUACACUACUCUGCAGCAUCAGCAGUAUCAAGAACAUCUAGAACGUCUAGAAUCUGCUCCAGAGGGGCCUCUCCUGCCUCUGCUCACAUCCAAUUUGGAUGAUCAUUGCAAGAGAAAACAAGCACAAACAAGAACAAGCAGCAAACAAAGCAAGGGUAAGCUAGAAUUCAAUGAAAGCAAGUCAAUUACAAUUAAACAUAGUAAAAGAGACAUACAAUACAACAAGCAAGAAAGAACAGUUUAUUUAGUUUAUGGUUUGUUGUUUUAUUAAGUAGUGUUAGACUUAGACUCGUCCGGACCCGGAAUGAAUAUCGAGCUAUGGCGGGUCAUGCACUUGUGGUGGCCUCUACUGCUUUGCAAAGCCAUUGCCAAUGGGUUUCACCCUACCACACACAAGGUUAUCCGUUAUCACUCACCUUGGCCCAUAUACAAUGGAGACAACCAAGACUAGGACCCCUACUGCUCUUCACCACAUGAACUACUCUUCUCUAAGUGAGAUUGAAUAGUCAUUAGAGCUUUAAGGGCAACCCCCAAGACUGAGCUACCUAUAUUCAUUCCAGAAACUCAACUCAAAUCUCACCUAGAGAUAACACUUGAAUCAUUGAAUCAACUUAUAUACAUAUACCAUCUCUUCUUUACUGAUUUUAAGUUAUUAACCAUUCACAGUUCAUCAUAUCAUACUAAUUAAAGUCAUACAAGGUAAAUCAAAAAUCAUACAUGGAUCAGCACACAAGAAAAAGAAAAGGAAGCACAAUUAUCUUUAUAAUCUUUAAUUUCCAAUACUUAAGUAAUUNAAAUGGCUUGGAGACCCUCACCAAUGGAUCCGGAAGGGUCAAAAACCCCCAGAACGACCUAAAGAACGUCCAGAAAUGAUACCCGGAACCCUUAAAACCACUCAAAACUGUCCUGGAUGCUUUCCUGACAACAAUAAUCGAUUAUCACAUAUGAUAAUCG
rnacentral:lncRNA from 1 species